GGCUAGCACAGUUGGUCCGCGCAUGCGCGCCACACGCGAGGUCGGAGGUUCGAUUCCCCGGAGGAGCA